rnacentral:lncRNA from 1 species
GUGAAUCACAGGUCGGCGGGAGCCUUUUUUCCUUUUUUUUUUUUUUUUUUUUCCCGGGGAGUCGGCCUCGGGGCUCUGCUCUCCUACCUCAGUCUGCCCUACCCUGGAAUGGGGAAAAUGCGGACAUGCCACUCAGUCCGGCCGCGAACGGUGCUCCAGAACUCAGAGAGUUUUCCAGACGGGUGGAGAUCGCGUUCCCUGCCCGCCGAGGUCCCAUCGCUUCCCUGCUGGGAAGACAAAUGAGGCGCUUUAGCCGUCUCCACGGCCAGCCCCUCCCUCAUAACCCGAGAUUCUUUGUGGGCUCUUAGUCCAUAGCUGCCUUUGAGGUGGUGUAGACCUUGCUAACCAGGACGGCCCAGUAGGCAGAGCUCAUUUUUAUUCCUGUCUGCAAUCGUGCAAAAACGCCUCUUAUGGAAAAGGCAGAGCGCCAGGAGUCAGCAAAACACACUAAAGAUUGGGCAGUCACUGGGGAGAACACUCAGCCCGCCUGCACCCAGGUGAAAUAUACAGCCUUGUUGCUCACACAAAGCCUGUUUGGUGGUUUCUUCACAUGGAUGCAUGUGACAUUUGGUGCUGAAGACCCAGGACAGGAGGACUCCUUUGGGAGACCAGUCCCCUGUUAUCGCCCUCACUCCGUGAGGAGAUCCACCUAUGAUCUCAGGUCCUCAGACCAACCAGCCCAAGGAACAUCUCACCAAUUUCAAAUCGGGAUCUCGCUCUGUUGCCCAGGCCCCAGGCUGGAGUGUAGUGGCGUGAUCACAGCUCACUGCAACCUCCACCUCCCGGGUUCAAGAGAUUCUUGUGCCUCAGCCUCCCAAGUAGCUGGGGUUACAGGUUGUCAGAAUCUGCAGAGAAGCUUCCUCCAAUCUCCAGCCUGAGAGUUCAGGCCUGGUUACCAGCAUUCUAGAAGCUGAAAGAGGAGAAGUUCUUGGAAGACUAAGAAGUCCAACAUUCGACCAUCUCGCUCUGUCGCCCAGGCUGGAGUGCAGUGGUGCAACCUCGGCUUACUGCAACCUCCGCCUCCUGGGUUCAAGUGACUCUCAUGCCUCAGCCUCCUGAGUAGCUGGGAUUACAGGCGCCUGCCACCAUGCCAGGUUUAUGUUUGUAUUUUUAGUAGAGACAGGGUUUCACUAUGUUGGCCAGGCUGGUCUCAAACUCCUGACCUCAAGUGAUCCGUCCGCCUCAACCUCUCAAAGUGUUGGGAUUACAGAUGUGAGCCACUGCGUCCGGCCUAAAAAUCCUAUAUUUGCAAUCUAUGUGACCACAACUGAUUUAAACCCAGAUGAAGAUAAGGUAUCAAAAUAAACCUCAGGCAGACUGAGCUGUGCCACAAUUUUAACACUAACUGAUGAAGGCAGGAUGCUUCUCCUGCUCAGCUGAGCAUCCUUUCUCCCAAACUCAAAAAACUAAAAUCCUGGAAUCUUAGAACUGGAAGUGACCCUUGUCUUUGUGACUGUCCUCGAGCUCUGCUACCCAUGAGUUUUGCCUCCAAAAUUGUCCCUUUUAUAUGAAGUAGGACUCUGCGCAGCCAGAAUUUUUUGUGUUACCUCUUUGUAAUCAGAUAGGGCACAACUGGCUGAGAUUGUUGUCAGUAUGUGGGUGUGGCUGGAAAAAAAUACCCUCUGUGACCAAUAGUUCUUUCUUCACUGUACACAGCUUUCAUACUGUUUCUCAUGAAUAAAACAUAUUCACAUGACAUUUUGUACUUUUCCUUCGUUAUUCAGUUUAUGCAGAUAGCCAUUUCCUUUGGAUAGUAAGAGAAGUGUCAGCUCUGUGUGGUAAAUGAUUGAGAAAAAAAGAGUCAUGAAGAAGCUACAGAACUUGCUUAAGAGCACGUGGUGGGACCCUCUUAGAAACGGGAAGAAAAGGCAGGGAAGAAAA